UGGGGAAUAUUGGACAAUGGGCGCAAGCCUGAUCCAGCCAUGCCGCGUGAACGAUGAAGGCCUUAGGGUUGUAAAGUUCUUUUGUCAGGGAAGAUAAUGACGGUACCUGAAGAAUAAGCACCGGCUAACUUCGUGCCAGCAGCCGCGGUAAUACGAAGGGUACUAGCGUUGUUCGGAAUCACUGGGCGUAAAGCGCGCGUAGGCGGCUUAACAAGUCAGAGGUGAAAGCCUGGAGCUCAACUCCAGAACUGCCUUUGAAACUGUUAAGCUUGAGUGUCGGAGGGGAUAGCGGAAUUUCUAAUGUAGAGGUGAAAUUCGUAGAUAUUAGAAGGAACACCGGUGGCGAAGGCGGCUAUCUGGACGACAACUGACGCUGAGGCGCGAAAGCGUGGGGAUCAAACAGGAUUAGAUACCCUAGUAGUCCCUGAGCGGGCUGGCAAGGCGCAU
rnacentral:rRNA from 1 species